rnacentral:rRNA from 1 species
UUCCGGUUGAUCCUGCCGGACCCGACUGCUAUCGGAUUGAGAUUUAGCCAUGCGAGUCGAACGUCCCCCUGUUGCGGGGGGCGUGGCGUACGGCUCAGUAACACGUAGUCAACCUGCCCUGGAGACAAGGACAACCCCGGGAAACUGGGAUUAAUCCUUGAUAGGUCAUCUCAUCUGGAAGGAGAGAUGGCUUAAAGGGGUACGCGGGCUUCUUCCGCGAAUCUGCUCCAGGAUGGGACUGCGUCCGAUCAGGCUGUUGGCGGGGUAAUGGCCCACCAAACCUGUAACCGGUACGGGCCUUGAGAGAGGUGGCCCGGAGAUGGACACUGAGAGAAGGGUCCAGGUCCUACGGGGCGCAGCAGGCGCGGAACCUUCGCAAUGCGCGAAAGCGUGACGAGGCUAAUCCGAGUGACUCCCGCUGAGGGGGUCUUUUGUCAGCUGUAAAUAGGCAGGCGAAUAAGGGGAGGGCAAGCCUGGUGUCAGCCGCCGCGGUAAUACCAGCUCCUCGAGUGGUCGGGGCGAUUAUUGGGCCUAAAGCAUCCGUAGCCGGUUCCGUAGGUCCUCUGUUAAAUCCAACCGCUUAACGGUUGACCUGCAGAGGAUACCGCGGGACUAGGAGGCGGGAGAGGCGGACGGUACUCCGCGUGUAGGGGUAAAAUCCUUUGAUCCGCGGAAGACCACCAGUGGCGAAGGCGGUCCGCCAGGACGCGCUCGACGGUGAGGGAUGAAAGCUGGGGGAGCGAACCGGAUUAGAUACCCGGGUAGUCCCAG